GCCGGGCUAUUGAUUCAGGGGAAGGGUUUGAGUGAUGCACAGGGUGAUCAGGGUUGUUGGUUCCGGGUGAGGGGGGCCGUGUCGGUGCCAUACCAUCGUGCUGCGCGCCGAGGGCCGGUUCUGCUACGAUAGCCGGGCCGGCAGGGAGACUCUCCGUGCCGAAGGAGAGGUCUGCAGGAGGAAGUUGUUGGAAAACAGGCCUCAUAAUGGAAACUGUUGCAAUUUCAACCUUGCUAUAAUUGCUGCCACCUAGGAUAACUGGAAAAGUAAUGACACCGUUCAAAAGUUGCCUAAGUAUUUCCAAUCUGAUUUCGACUGGCCUUUGGGGGUGUUGAAGAAAAAAAUAAUGUUGUUCAACAUAGUGUAAGCUGUUCGGAAGAAAAGUGGAGAAUUUGAUACAUGUUUAUAUUUUGAGACUCCUGAUGAAAGAAUAUUGAUUAUUGCAUUGGAGCCAAGGUAGUUGUGAUAUGUCGAAAUAGAUAUUUAUCAUAUUUAAUAAACACGUUACACUCAAGUGGGCAGCAUAAGAUUGGAUAAUCUCUAGACUAGUAAAUAUUGUUUUUAAGGGCUUUGGUGUAGUAAGUGAUGUAACAGGUGUGUACAGUGUUGUCACGUUGUACCUUUUACUGUGUUUUGUUUUUGUUUUUAAAUGAGAUGUUAUGUUUUUGCAUCUCUUGGGGUGCGUUUUAAUAUCUUCCAGUUUUUUAUUUUUCUUGUAGUAAAUGAACAUAAUUUUUAAAUAAAUGGGAAGGAGAAACAUGGGACUUUUUUCCUAGUCCUGAAAGAUGCUGUGAAAAAAAGGGAACCAAACACCUUCACCAUCUCAUGACUGUCUUGAGCAACUGCAAUAUAAACCUGAGUGCUGUCUUGCCCUGGCUAAGGGUGUCUUAUCAACGGAUCAUGUCCUGAUUUUGCCGGUUGCAGGUAGGGUUAUAGCACAGCAGUGUAAGAAUACAACCUCAACUGCUUUGAAAGGGGACAAGUCACAUUUAAACCUAAGCAUAGGCAAACUCCCCUCUUCUUUUUUUCCUUCUUGGCAUUCCACAUGGUAGAUAAAAAUUCCGUGAGCAGUAGAUGGGGAACAGGACAAAAGUAAAACCCCUGUGACCACUUAAAUGGCCACUUGAAUAUGCUAAUUUUUCCUGUUACAGCAAGUGCACAGAGCUGAGUUUGUUGAAGGACAAUGACAAUAGACAAGAACAUUUAUUGGGAGCUUCAUAUAAUUCAGGAGGCUUUCCUCUCUAUUUGGGGUACUGAGAUAUACAGCACGUACUUUUAAGCUUUUCUGCCUGACCAAAUCUUUGGUCAGUGUUCACAAACAUGGAUGGUCAGUGACCAGUUUCUGCUGAACUGAUUAUGGAAGGGUGCAUUGUGGUGGUUUUCUGCCUGGCGGAUCUGUGACAGUGUCAGAGCAGCCUCAACCUACCACAAAGAGUAUAAAGGAGAAGGACAGUCAUGAAAACAUUUCCAGAACUUUUCGUUUUCAGUUAGUCUUCCAGCUCCUACAAGGCAGACCUGCCUCAUAAGUUUAAGUCUGUAGAGACAGGUGAUCAUCUGUCUCACAUGAUGACAGACAGUACUGAGGGGUGUGCAAACCUCCGUGAUGGAUUUAUUGCCUUAUCUAGAAGAAUAGUAUGCUUUGUGUCUUUUUCUUAUUGUGUCAUCCAUCUCCAGGUGAUUCCUGUACCACUCACUGUUGUGCUACUGAAGACAUUAAAGAGUCUUCUAUUGUACAAGUGCAAAAACAACAGAUCGAAUUACUAGAAAUCCCAGAGCACUCUGAUAUCACGCAAGCGAGACAUAGACUUCAUUCAAGAGGCAAUGAGACCUAUUCUUCAGUGGAUGUCCAGUUUGCUGCAACUGUUUGAACUCGUCCCCACCUGCACCAGGGGUUCUGGUGUCCCAGCUCUGAGGCCUGGUCUACACUACAGAGUUUGUUUGUUUGCAAGGCAGCUUACGUUGACCUAAUUCUGUAAGCGUCUACACUAAAAUGUUGCUCCCGCCGAUGUAACUUGCCCUCUCCGCCCACUUAGUAACUCCACCUCCACGAGAGGCAUGGUGCUUAGGUCAACAUAGUUUGGUUGACACAAUAUCAGUGACACUGCAUUACUUAUGUCUACUUUAGUGGCUUCCAGGAGGUGUCCCACGAUGCCCCAGCAUAACUGCUCUGGUCACCUUUUAGAACUCCGCUGCCUGGCAGUCAGGUAUGCAUGUACAUGUCCCUCCCCCUUUAAAGCCCCACCAAUUUUAAAUUCUAUUUCAUGUAUGGUUGGUAUAGAGAGCUCAAAUAGCAACUGCCCAGCUGACCAUGUUGGCGCCACGCAGCAAAGGUGCUCUUGCCAGGAGUACACAGCAGGUGGUGGAUCUCCAUGGUCUGUGGGGAGAAGAGGCUGUGCAGGCACAGGUCUGAUCCAUCUGUAGAAACGUUGACAUCUAUGGCCAGAUCGCUGGGGGCAUGGCGGAGAAGGGCUACAACCAGCACAUGCAGCAGUGCCAUGUAAAAAUCAAGGAGUUGCUGCAGGUGUACCAGAAGGUAAGGGAGGCAGACUGUCACUCUGGUGUGGAACUGCAGACAGGCUGGUUCUACACGGAGCUGCAAGCCUUCCUUGGGGGAGACCACCACCACAAGCCCCGUGGAUAUUUCAGGGGAGCUGGAAGCAGCGGCCCCUGCAGUGCACACUGAGGAGGAGGUGAUGCACGAGGAGUAGUAGUUUUGGAGGACAGGCGACUGGGGGAAUGCAGUGGUGCAGUGAGCCAGGACCUCUUUCUGACCGCCGGAGAGUCCCUACUAUCCAGCACCGGCGAGCCUGAUGCAGGGGAUGGAACCUCUACUGGAAAUGUGGCCUUGAGGGUCUCUCCAUCCACACCACUGGAGUGGCUCAGAUGAUGAGAAGAAAGGGGAUGAGGGACAUGUUCCACGAGAUCCUGCAAGCCUCUGGUGUUGCACAUACCGAGCAGAGGGCUUGGAGGAGCACCCUUGUGGACAGAAUGGAAAGGGAUAGUGCAGAGAGGAGAAACACAGAGGAAAAGGACAGACACAUGCAGCAAGUCAUGUUAGCGCUUCUCAAGCACCAGAUGGACAUGCUGGAGAUUCUUAUAGACCUGCAGGUCCAAGUAAUCCUUGCUUGCCUCCUGCUGCAGUCUAUCGAUAACUGCAUUCUGGGACCUCCCUAUGCUCCCUGCCCCUACAUUCCACAUAUGUUUCAUGGCCACUGCAUUACCCCUACCACUCCACCCCGAGGGAGAGUACACACAAUCAGAGCUGCACGUACACUGACCUAUGAGAGAGACAGUUGGUGUAUUUGUGUUUGAAAUGAGAAUGACUGUUCUUUCCCCGUCAAAGGUUCUUUUCCCUGUAUUUAUAUAGUUUCAUUCAGUUACAGUUAUUUUUGUUUGCAUGAGUUUGGAAUAAAAGUCUAUUUAUGGAAA